UCUGGGUUUAUCCCAGCGGUCUCGUUAGAAAAGUGUAACUAACGACGAGGGUUGCGCUCGUUGCGGGACUUAACCCAACAUCUCACGACACGAGCUGACGACAGCCAUGCAGCACCUGUGUUCCCGUUCCCUUUCGGGCACAGCCCCAUUUCUGGGGCCUCCAGGACAUGUCAAGGGUAGGUAAGGUUUUUCGCGUUGCAUCGAAUUAAUUCACAUAAUCCACCGCUUGUGCGGGUCCCCGUCAAUUCCUUUGAGUUUUAGCCUUGCGGCCAUACUCCCCAGGCGGGGUGCUUAAUGCGUUAGCUUCGGCACGGACGGGGUCGAUAUCCGCCCACACCUAGCACCCAACGUUUACGGCUAGGACUAC
rnacentral:misc_RNA from 1 species